UGAUUUUUUAUUUGUCACUGAAAAUGGGGAUGCUUUUUGGCAUAAAAAAAUGAUGCUUUUGGAUUUUUAUCGCAUAAAAUGUGGUGUUGCUGAAUGUGGAGUAAUCUGACCAUGUAUGUGCUGCUGCUAUGAUUGUCGUAGAGCGAGGUUGCUGUGUUGAUGCCUGGUUGCCUGCACAUAUGCAAAAUCAUUUAGUGCAGACACGGAGAAGAUUAUGAGGGCUUUUCUACUGCUUAGUGUUACGCACUUACGCUAGCAUGUUCUCACAUCUUGCAUCUCCGAUCCAAUUGUGUUUUGGUUUCUACAACUUUUCUCUGUGUGUUACUAUCUCCGAUCCAACUUAAAAUCAUGAUUGAUUACUAUCUUGAGAUGAAAUACCAGAUUUCCUGAUUCUUUUUUCCAUACAAACUUUAUGCCCUGGUUUGUAACUAAAAAUGGUUAGAUGCAUGCAGGGUCAACUACUGGUUCUUUUGUAAGAGAGGUCUAUUUCAAACUUCAAUUCUGACAAUAUAAGGAGACCAAAGGCAACAAUGAUCAACGAUCCGCGUCAGUUAUGGAACACAAAGGUGUCCAAAUUGUUCUUCUGAACUGAACCCCAUGACGUGGACUUAAACUCCUUCUCUUGGCCUAUCUGAAUGUGAUGGCUAUCUGCAAUUUUACUAUUGUAUUAUAAAACCAUUCAAAGACCAUUUUCAGCACGAAUUCAGUCAAGAAUAAUUUGAGAGACAGUAUGGCAGCUUUUGGAUGUU